rnacentral:sRNA from 1 species
CACCUUGUACCCAAAGAAAUCCUAUUAUAUUAUUUUGGAAAGUACAUUUGAAAUGUAACCUUAAUUUUUGUAAUUAAUUACAUGACAAUGAUAUUAGAAAAAUUUAAUCAAAAACAAAAUCUUUUAAUGACGUUAUUAAGGUUACCAAAAUUCAUUUAACGACAAUAUUCAUUUCUUAAUUAUAGGGCUUAUUGGAUCUAAAGACGGGUCAUCAAAGAUUUUCUAAACUGAAUCAAAAUAUACCGAAUAUUCAAAUAUUUAUCUCUUACCAAAUAUAAACAAAUAAGUUCGUAAAACAAUUUAAUAUUUUAUAUACGAAAUCAAUUAAAUCUUAAUUACAUAAAAAUUAGCACAAAAAAAAAGUAUUCAACAAUUACAAUUUUAUCAAAUCUCUCUGUUAUAUAAGUUUUGAUAAUAUAUUCGAAUAAAGUGUAAUAUAACUUUUCAAUUUGUACUCUUUAACUAAUUUAAGCUAAUUAAUAUAUUUGUUAAUCUUAUACCUAUCAAAACCGACUAUCGUUUCUUAUCUCUAUAGUAUUUUUGCAAGACUUUUUGGUGGAUUUUGGUAAAAGUGCAUUCGGGUCAUAUGGUACAUUCUCCUAUUAAAUAAAUAUGGUGCACUCCUAUGUUAUUAGCUAAAAUAUUUAGAUUAUAAUUAGAGUCAUAUCAUAAAUAAAAUUAAUAUU